UGCAGUCGAGCGGAUGAAAGGAGCUUGCUCCUGGAUUCAGCGGCGGACGGGUGAGUAAUGCCUAGGAAUCUGCCUGGUAGUGGGGGACAACGUUUCGAAAGGAACGCUAAUACCGCAUACGUCCUACGGGAGAAAGCAGGGGACCUUCGGGCCUUGCGCUAUCAGAUGAGCCUAGGUCGGAUUAGCUAGUUGGUGAGGUAAUGGCUCACCAAGGCGACGAUCCGUAACUGGUCUGAGAGGAUGAUCAGUCACACUGGAACUGAGACACGGUCCAGACUCCUACGGGAGGCAGCAGUGGGGAAUAUUGGACAAUGGGCGAAAGCCUGAUCCAGCCAUGCCGCGUGUGUGAAGAAGGUCUUCGGAUUGUAAAGCACUUUAAGUUGGGAGGAAGGGUUGUAGAUUAAUACUCUGCAAUUUUGACGUUACCGACAGAAUAAGCACCGGCUAACUCUGUGCCAGCAGCCGCGGUAAUACAGAGGGUGCAAGCGUUAAUCGGAAUUACUGGGCGUAAAGCGCGCGUAGGUGGUUCGUUAAGUUGGAUGUGAAAUCCCCGGGCUCAACCUGGGAACUGCAUUCAAAACUGUCGAGCUAGAGUAUGGUAGAGGGUGGUGGAAUUUCCUGUGUAGCGGUGAAAUGCGUAGAUAUAGGAAGGAACACCAGUGGCGAAGGCGACCACCUGGACUGAUACUGACACUGAGGUGCGAAAGCGUGGGGAGCAAACAGGAUUAGAUACCCUGGUAGUCCACGCCGUAAACGAUGUCAACUAGCCCUUGGGAGCCUUGAGCUCUUAGUGGCGCAGCUAACGCAUUAAGUUGACCGCCUGGGGGAGUACGGCCGCAAGGUUAAAACUCAAAUGGAAUUGACGGGGGGCCCGCACAAGCGGUGGAACCAUGU
rnacentral:rRNA from 1 species